CCCCUCACCCUGUUUCUGCAGCGAUGGCAGGGGGAUGGCAGGGGCUGGCUUCUGAACCUCUCAGCUUGCUUCCUGACCAUAGACCCCGGGGGGGGGGGGGGUCCAACAGCCUCUUUCCCCUUGGUUCCCAUUGGAGGUGUUUUUGCUCAUAGAGCUUCCUCAAACGUCCGUGGGUCUCCUGUGUGUCUCCCUGGGGUGUCUCCAUUGGAUGGAGCCACGGUCACAACUGUCCCCGAGGUCAGCCCCUCCUCUACCGCGAGGCUCCUGCAAACAGGUGAGUGGCGGCUCCCACAGCCUUCUCAAGACUCUGCCGUGAGGAGCCCACUUGGUCUCUUGCAGGGGUCUUGUCGUCUCAUGAGUGCUCUGACACUCUGAUCCUUCUGAGGUGCCCACAAGGACAGGACAGUCACUCUAUGGCUUUAUUGUCAUCUGUCUACUCCCAUUUUACGCAAAACAGCAGGAAGAAACCAGCAAGAACCUUUGACGUUUUGACUGAAGACGCCGGGGCUGGCCCCACAGUCCUUCGGGUCUGGUCCUCCUGCCCUGCGGCUGUAGCUGGCCGCGCUGCUGGGCCCCCAGCCUGGGGACAGCCCUACCUCCAGUUUACCAUAGCGUGCUCUCCCUUCCUCUCGUGCUCGGUCCAGAGUCCACAUCCGUAUUUCUGCUCGUGGUCUGCUCUAGGGCCCUUCAGGUCGCCUCCUCUUGCCCCUCAGGGCCUCCAGCUUGUGCACUGCCCCUCCACACCUGCUGACACACCUGCUGUCACACCUUCCGGGACUGGGGCAGUGCACCGCUGCUCUCGGACCUUUCAGACCACCUGUUGUCAGGAAAGUUAGGAAACUCAUCGCACUGGGUGAAGAGAUGAUUUUCAAGCUGGAUCCUUUCCCCUGAUUGGCUCAGUGUACCUAGGGAUCUCUCAGUAUUUCCCUGAGUUCUAUUUCACAAAAUGGUAAUAGUGGUUAAUCAGCCCCUCUAUCUACAGAAUUGCAUGAUCAAUAAUAAAUAUGUAAUGAUGGAUAAGCA
rnacentral:lncRNA from 12 species